rnacentral:lncRNA from 1 species
AGAAAUCACGAAGAACACUUCUCAACCAAAAUCAACAAAUCAUACAUCACUGUGACCGUAUAAGCAUGUACAUCAUGGAUAUGGAUUCAGUUUCUCCUAAUUCUAAACCUAUCAACCGGAUCGAGCAAAAGAAUUUUCUACAUCAAAUGUUCAAAUCAAGAUAUCUCUCUCUACACUCAACCAAAUCCAAAACCACAAGUUGCAUGCUACUCUACGUUGAAAGAUCUACACAAACC